UCAUCAACAUCAUCUCUCUCUCUUCUCAUCGACAUCAUCUCUCUCUCUCUCUCUUCUCAUCGACAUCAUACGCCGAUCUCUCUCUUCUCCAUCUCUCGCAUCAUCUCCGGCUCGAUCUCUCAUCUCCUCCGAUUUGGGUUUCGAUCUCUCUCUUCUCCGACGCCGAUCUCUCUCUUCUCUCAACUCGUCUUCAUCGAUCCAUCGAUCUCUCUCUCAGACUCUCUCAUCUCCUCUCAAAGAGUCUCUCCAUCGAUCUCUCUCUCAUCUCUCUCAGACCCUCUCGACGACCCACUCUUAUCUCUCUCAGAGUCUCUUCACGGAAGAGAUAGAGAUUGUUGCUCUCACUCUCUCAACCCUUUGAAGCUCUGAAGCUUAUCUCCUCUGAUUGUGAGAAAGUAUGCAUUUGAGAGGCCUGAUGUACCAGCUGGCGAGCAAUAUGUUUUGAAGAUAAAUUAUCCAUUUAAGGAUCCUGCACUUAAAGGCGAGUCUUUUUGCGCUGUGCUCGGCUCUCACACCAGGUGCACUCUCAUAGCUCUCUCCAGAGGUUCUUCUCAGUCUCAUCCUCCAUCUAAAGUCAUUAUCCGAGAGGCUCCAAGUCAAGCAUUAACAACUCAAGACCAUGUUGGUACCAUGGAACUAUAGCUGGUGGUGAGUCUUUGCUAGGAGAAGGAGAUUGUACCUUUUGCUCAAGAACCUGGAGUUGCAGAGUACGCUACAGUUAUGGUAAAACAGAACUAUGUUAUGCAUGUGUGUUGGAUUUUGAACCUUCAGAGAUUCUGCAUGAAAAGAUUGUGAGAGGGCUUAGUUUAAAGACAUCAUUUGGUGAACAAAGAUUAUGGUCGUUGUGUCCGUUUGUGGUCGUUGUGUCCGUUUGUCCGUUUGAUGAUACUUACACUAUAAUGUGGUCGUUGUGUCCGUUUGUAGAAGACGAGAUUAUGAACAGAGCAUGAUACAUCUCUCAAUUUUUUUUUUUGGUUGUUAUUUUGUUACUCAUUGAAAAAAGAAACCACAAAACCAAAAAAAAAAAAGAAAUUUAGUCUCUGUUUACUUA